GACGAACGCUGGCGGCGCGCUUAACACAUGCAAGUCGAACGGAAAGGCCUGCUUUCCCUUGUGGAUUGCGGGUACUCGAGUGGCGAACGGGUGAGUAACACGUGAGUGAUCUGCCCCCAACUUGGGUAUAAGCCUGGGAAACUGGGUCUAAUUCCCGAUAGGACUGCAGGGUGGUGCCUGUGGUGGAAAACGAUUUUCUAGUGGUUGGGGAUGAGCUCGCGGCCUAUCAGCUUGUUGGUGGGGUAAUGGCCUACCAAGGCGGCGACGGGUAGCCGGCCUGGGAGGGUGGACGGCCACAUUGGGACUGAGAUACGGCCCAGACUCCUACGGGAGGCAGCAGUGGGGAAGAUGGCACAAUGGGCGGAAGCCUGAUGCAGCGACGCCGCGUGGGGGACGACGGCCUUCGGGUUGUAAACUCCUUUCGACCGCGAGGAAGCCACCUGGUUGGAAGGGUGGUGACGGUAGUGGUAGAAGAAGCACCGGCUAACUACGUG
rnacentral:rRNA from 1 species